rnacentral:rRNA from 1 species
UACGUAGGGCGCAAGCGUUGUCCGGAAUUAUUGGGCGUAAAGAGCUCGUAGGCGGCUUGUCACGUCGGGUGUGAAAGUCCGGGGCUCAACUCCGGAUCUGCGGUGGGUACGGGCAGACUAGAGUGAUGUAGGGGAGACUGGAAUUCCUGGUGUAGCGGUGAAAUGCGCAGAUAUCAGGAGGAACACCGAUGGCGAAGGCAGGUCUCUGGGCAUUAACUGACGCUGAGGCACGAAAGCGUGGGGAGCAAACAGG